GAAGGAAAGAGGACCCGUAUGGGAGCCGCAGAGAAGCACCUAGAACCCUGGGGCCUGAGGGCCGGCUGGAGGCAACACAGGGCUGAACCCCUGUCAGCCUGCCGGGGGACGCGGUGCCCGCCCUCCGGCAUCCGGGAAACAGCGUCCCAGCCGGCGCCUGCGCAGGUGCCACACUUCCUGGUCCUCUCUGGCUGCUUCUGAGGGCCUUGGCUCUGGCCGGGGGCGCUGCAACGGGCUCAGCCUUCUAGGGGUGGCGGGUGAAGGCCUACACCUGCCCCAGGACGGCCAGGUCCACCAGCACCUGCAACAGACGGAGAACUGAAGGAGCAUCUUGAAGCUGUGGCUGUCUUGAAGGUGUCGCCGCUUGUCCUCACGAGCACCAUUUUGAUUCUCGUGCCCUGUGUGCAUGGGUGGCCAGCGUUGCUGGUAGGGCUCCUGCACGCUCAGAGUGGCCUUGGCCAGGAAGUCCGGGGUUUCCGCAGGCAGAGUGGAUGAACAAGGUACUGAGAAGAUCACAUACUGCAUGUCCUCCUAAAACCUGGUCCUGGCAUAACCUUCUAAGCUGUUUUAUUCAGGUGGUUAUGGAUUUUGUAUUUGCCCAUGUUUAAUGAGCUUUACAACACUUCCAUCAGAGAAC